GAGGAGGCGAUGAUGUUGAGAACUACCUAUUUUCUGAGGGAAACCAUUCCUCAGUGAUUACAAAACUUACCAAUGGAUCCUUCUGAGCCGCCU